rnacentral:rRNA from 1 species
GACGAACGCUGGCGGCGUGCCUAACACAUGCAAGUCGAGCGGGAACCUCAGGAGGGGUAACCCUCCUGAGGGGAGAGCGGCGAACGGGUGAGUAACACGUGGGCAACCUGCCCCGGACACCGGGAUAACCCAGGGAAACCUGAGCUAAUACCGGAUACUCCGGCGAGAUCGCAUGGUCGCGCCGGGAAAGCUCCGACGGUCCGGGAUGGGCCCGCGGCCUAUCAGCUGGUGGGUGGGGUAACGGCCCACCAAGGCGACGACGGGUAGCUGGUGUGAGAGGAGGGCCGGCCACACUGGGACUGAGACAGGUCCCAGACUCCUACGGGAGGCAGCAGUGGGGGAUCUUGCGCUAAUGCGCGAAAGCGUGACGCAGCGACGCCGCGUGGGGGAUGAAGGCCCUCGGGUUGUAAACCCCUUUCGGAAGGGACGAAGCGAAAGUGACGGUACCUGCAGAAGAAGUCCCGGCUAACUACGUGCCAGCCGCCGCCGUAA